AUGCUCGCUUCGGUAGCACAUGUACUAAAACUGGGACGAUACAGAGACAAUGAGCAUGGCCCCUGUGCAACGAUGACAUGCAAAUUCCUGAAGCAUUCCAUGUUUUU